rnacentral:rRNA from 1 species
GUGGAGCAUGUGGCUUAAUUUGACUCAACGCGGGGAAUCUUACUAGGUCCGGACCGAGUUUAUGAAUGUCGUGCCGUGGGGCAUUACACGAUUACUGGAUGAGUGGUGCAUGGCCGUUCUUAGUUCGUGGUGUUAAUUGUCUGCUUAAUUGUUAUCGGUUCUCGUAUCAUGCGAGAAUUGUUAACGAACGAGAUCGAGACCCGUGGUUGCGUAUGUUUGAAUUCGGUAUUACUACGGGGAUCGCGUAAUACUCCACGGUACGAUCGAAAGACUCGGCAAUAACAGGUCUGUGAUGCCCUCAGAUGUUCUAGGCUGCACACGUGCUACAGUGUGGUUCUGUUCAUAUGUGUAUGCGUAGACUUGAGAUCCCCCGCACCGAGUCAUAACUGGUCACACGGUUGGGCUCACCGAUUGUCAAUUAUUCGGUAUCUUAACUAGGAAUGCCUCGUACUGGGUCGGUUCAACGAGACCCCCUGGAAUCCGUCCCUGCCCUUUGUACACACCGCCCGUCGCUCUUACCGAUGGGCGUGGUUUUUAGUUGCGAUGAAUAUUCUACGAAUGUGACUCGUUGCUCGGAACCACGCCUAAAGGAAAGAGAAGUAGUAACAAGGCAUCG